GAGCACGGGAGACAGAGCACCGGGUGCUAACGUCCGGACUCAAAAGGGAAACAACCCAGACCGCCGGCUAAGGUCCCAAAUAACAGCUAAGUGGAAAACGAAGUGGAAAGGCCGUGACAACCAGGAAGUUGGCUUAGAAGCAGCCAUCCUUCAAAGAAAGCGUAAUAGCUCACUGGUCGAGUCCUUCUGCGCGGAAGAUGUAACGGGGCUAAGCUGUUAACCGAAGCCGCGGAUGCACUGGUUAUCCAGUGCGUGGUAGGGGAGCGUUCUGUAAGUCUGCGAAGGCGGUUCGAGAGGACUGCUGGAGAUAUCAGAAGUGCGAAUGCUGACAUGAGUAACGUUAAAGCAGGUGAAAAGCCUGCUCGCCGUAAGCCCAAGGAUUCCUGCUCUACGUUCAUCGGAGCAGGGUGAGUCGGCUCCUAAGGUCAGGCCGAAAGGCGUAGCCGAUGGGAAUCAGGUUAAUAUUCCUGAACCUGCGUCAGAUGCGAUGGGGGGACGGAGCAUGGAAGAUCAUCCGGGUGUUGGAAGUCCCGGUUGUUUAGCGUAGGAGGUCUGCAGGCAAAUCCGCAGACGCAUCUCCAAGGCAAAGACACGUGCCGCCACGGCGGCGAAGUGAUCGGAAGUGCUUCCAAGAAAAGCCUCUAAGCACCAGUCUGACGCGGACCGUACCGCAAACCGACACUGGUGGGCGAGCUGAAUAUGCUCAGGCGCUUGAGAGAACUCGGGAGAAGGAACUCGGCAAAUUGACACCGUAACUUCGGAAGAAGGUGUGCCGUAGUACCGUGAGAGGAGAGACACCUUGAGCGGGAAACGGUCUCAGAGAAUAGGUGGCUGCGACUGUUUAUUAAAAACACAGCACUCUGCAAAGUCGAAAGACGACGUAUAGGGUGUGAUGCCUGCCCGGUGCUGGAAGAUUAAUUGAUGGGGUGAGAGCCCUUGAUCGAAGUCCCAGUAAACGGCGGCCGUAACUAUAACGGUCCUAAGGUAGCGAAAUUCCUUGUCGGGUAAGUUCCGACCUGCACGAAUGGCAUAACGAUGGCCACACUGUCUCCUCCCGAGACUCAGUGAAGUUGAAAUGUUUGUGAUGAUGCAAUCUACCCGCGGCUAGACGGAAAGACCCCAUGAACCUUUACUGCAGCUUUGCAUUGAACUGUGAACCGAUUUGUGUAGGAUAGGUGGGAGGCAGAGAAGAGGCCACGCCAGUGGCCUUGGAGCCGACCUUGAAAUACCACCCUGAUUUGUUUGCGGUUCUAACCACGGACAGUGAUCCUGUCUUGGGACCGUGCAUGGUAGGCAGUUUGACUGGGGCGGUCUCCUCCUAAAGGGUAACGGAGGAGUACGAAGGUACGCUAGGUACGGUCGGAAAUCGUGCUGAUAGUGCAAUGGCAAAAGCGUGCUUGACUGCGAGAGCAACAACUCGAGCAGAUGCGAAAGCAGGUCAUAGUGAUCCGGUGGCUCUGAAUGGAAGGGCCAUCGCUCAACGGAUAAAAGGUACUCUGGGGAUAACAGGCUGAUACCGCCCAAGAGUUCAUAUCGACGGCGGUGUUUGGCACCUCGAUGUCGGCUCAUCUCAUCCUGGGGCUGUAGUCGGUCCCAAGGGUAUGGCUGUUCGCCAUUUAAAGAGGUACGUGAGCUGGGUUUAAAACGUCGUGAGACAGUUUGGUCCCUAUCUGCCGUGGGCGUUGGAAGAUUGACGGGGGCUGCUCCUAGUACGAGAGGACCGGAGUGGACGCACCUCUGGUGUACCGGUUGUCACGCCAGUGGCAUUGCCGGGUAGCUAAGUGCGGAAGAGAUAACCGCUGAAAGCAUCUAAGCGGGAAACUUGCCUGAAGAUGAGUCUUCCCGGAGGUUGAACCUCCCUCAAGAGUCGUCCGAGACCAGGACGUCGAUAGGUCAGGUGUGUAAGCGCUGUAAGGCGUUGAGCUAACUGAUACUAAUUGCUCGUGAGGCUUGAUCCU
rnacentral:rRNA from 1 species